rnacentral:tRNA from 1 species
UGCGGGGUGGAGCAGUCUGGUAGCUCGUCGGGCUCAUAACCCGAAGGUCGUUGGUUCAAAUCCAGCCCCCGCGA